GACGGGACCGCACAAGCGGUGGAUGAUGUGGAUUAAUUCGAUGCAACGCGAAAACCUUACCUACCCUUGACAUGUCCGGAAUCCCGAAGAGAUUUGGGAGUGCUCGCAAGAGAGCCGGAACACAGGUGCUGCAUGGCUGUCGUCAGCUCGUGUCGUGAGAUGUUGGGUUAAGUCCCGCAACGAGCGCAACCCUUGUCAUUAGUUGCCAUCAUUUGGUUGGGCACUCUAAUGAGACUGCCGGUGACAAACCCGGAGGAAGGUGGGGAUGACGUCAAGUCCUCAUGGCCCUUAUGGGUAGGGCUUCACACGUCAUACAAUGGUCGGUACAGAGGGUUGCCAACCCGCGAGGGGGAGCUAAUCCCACAAAGCCGAUCGUAGUCCGGAUCGCAGUCUGCAACUCGACUGCGUGAAGUCGGAAUCGCUAGUAAUCGUGGAUCAGAAUGUCACGGUGAAUACGUUCCCGGGUCUU
rnacentral:rRNA from 1 species